UGAACGCUAGCGGCAGGCUUAACACAUGCAAGUCGAGGGGCAGCAUGUCCAGCAAUGGAUGAUGGCGACCGGCGGAAGGGUGCGUAACGCGUGAGCAACAUGCCCUAUACAGGGAGAUACACCAGGGAAACUUGGUCUAAUAUCCCAUAGCAUUCAUUGAAGGCAUCUUUAAUGAAUUAAAGCUUCGGUGGUAUAGGAUUGGCUCGCGUGACAUUAGCCAGAUGGUGAGGUAACGGCUCACCAUAGCAAUGAUGUCUAGGGGUUUUGAGAGGAAGGCCCCCCACACUGGGACUGAGACACGGCCCAGACUCCUACGGGAGGCAGCAGUGAGGAAUAUUGGACAAUGGAUGGAAAUCUGAUCCAGCCAUGCCGCGUGCAGGAAGACGGCCUUAUGGGUUGUAAACUGCUUUUAUACGGGAGCAAUAAGGGUUACGAGUAAUCCGAUGAGAGUACUGUAUGAAUAAGGAUCGGCUAACUCCGUGCCAGCAGCCGCGGUAAUACGGAGGAUCCGAGCGUUAUCCGGAAUUAUUGGGUUUAAAGGGUGCGUAGGCGGCCAUUUAAGUCAGCGGUGAAAUUUUGCAGCUUAACUGUAACAGUGCCGUUGAUACUGUUUGGCUAGGAUUUGGUUGUAGUGUGCGGAAUGUGUGGUGUAGCGGUGAAAUGCUUAGAUAUCACGAGGAACUCCUAUUGCGAAGGCAGCUCGCUGGUCCGCUACUGACGCUGAUGCUCGAAGGUGCGGGUAUCGAACAGGAUUAGAUACCCUGGUAGUCCGCACAGUAAACUAUGGACACUCGCUGUCGGCGAUAUACUGUCGGUGGCUAAGCGAAAGC
rnacentral:rRNA from 1 species